AGAGUUUGAUCCUGGCUCAGGAUGAACGCUGGCGGCGUGCCUGACACAUGCAAGUCGAACGAACCGAGGGGCUGUUGAUCGGGUUUUGGAAGGGUUCGUCCCGGAAGAGCCCGUGAGGUUCCUUGGUUAGUGGCGAACGGGUGAGUAACACGUAGGUGACCUGCCCCGAAGAGGGGGAUAACCACUGGAAACGGUGGCUAAUACCCCAUGUGAUCUCGUAUUCGGUUGUGGGAUUAAAGGCUUCGGCGCUUCGGGAGGGGCCUGCGGCCUAUCAGCUAGUUGGUAGGGUAAUGGCCUACCAAGGCUAUGACGGGUAGCUGGUCUGAGAGGACGGUCAGCCACACUGGCACUGAGACACGGGCCAGACUCCUACGGGAGGCAGCAGUGAGGGAUAUUGCGCAAUGGGGGAAACCCUGACGCAGCAACGCCGCGUGGGCGAAGAAGGUCUUCGGAUCGUAAAGCCCUUUUCUCCCGGACGAGGAAGGACGGUACGGGAGGAAUAAGUGUCGGCUAACUACGUGCCAGCAGCCGCGGUAAUACGGAGGGAGCUAGCGUUGUUCGGAAUUACUGGGCGUAAAGCGCACGUAGGCGGCUAUUCAAGUCAGAGGUGAAAGCCCGGGGCUCAACCCCGGAACUGCCUUUGAAACUAGAUAGCUUGAAUCCAGGAGAGGUGAGUGGAAUUCCGAGUGUAGAGGUGAAAUUCGUAGAUAUUCGGAAGAACACCAGUGGUGAAGGCGGCUCACUGGACUGGUAUUGACGCUGAGGUGCGAAAGCGUGGGGAGCAAACAGGAUUAGAUACCCUGGUAGUCC
rnacentral:rRNA from 1 species